rnacentral:rRNA from 1 species
GGCCAGACUCCUACGGGAGGCAGCAGUGGGGAAUAUUGCACAAUGGGGGGAACCCUGAUGCAGCGACGCCGCGUGGGUGAAGGAGCACCUCGGUGCGUAAAGCCCUAUCGGCAGGGAAGAAACAGACGGUACCUGACUAAGAAGCCCCGGCUAACUACGUGCCAGCAGCCGCGGUAAUACGUAGGGGGCAAGCGUUAUCCGGAUUCACUGGGUGUAAAGGGGGCGCAGACGGCGAUGCAAGCCAGGAGUGAAAGCCCGGGGCCCAACCCCGGGACUGCUCUUGGAACUGCGUGGCCGGAGUGCAGGAGGGGCAGGCGGAAUUCCUGGUGUAGCGGUGAAAUGCGUAGAUAUCAGGAGGAACACCGGUGGCGAAGGCGGCCUGCUGGACUGCAACUGACGUUGAGGCCCGAAAGCGUGGGGAGCAAACAGGAUUAGAUACCCUUGUA